CCGGCACGGGUGAGUAACACGUAUCCAACCUGCCGUCUACUCUUGGACAGCCUUCUGAAAGGAAGAUUAAUACAAGAUGGCAUCAUGAGUCCACAUGUUCACAUGAUUAAAGGUAUUCCGGUAGACGAUGGGGAUGCGUUCCAUUAGAUAGUAGGCGGGGUAACGGCCCACCUAGUCUUCGAUGGACAGGGGUUCUGAGAGGAAGGUCCCCCACAUUGGAACUGAGACACGGUCCAA
rnacentral:rRNA from 1 species